AGAGUUUGAUCCUGGCUCAGAACGAACGCUGGCGGCGUGCCUAACACAUGCAAGUCGAACGGUUCCAUAAGGGGGACUGGGCGGCCGGGGACAAUUUGUGUCUUCGGAAGUCGAGUCCUCCUUAUGGGAUAGUGGCGCACGGGUGAGUAACACGUAGGCAACCUACCCCAAUGCGGGGGAUAACAUUCGGAAACGGAUGCUAAUACCGCGUAAGCCCACGGAGUCUUUGGAUUCUGCGGGAAAAGGGGGGGACCUUUUGGCCUUCUGUCGUCAGAUGAGUCUGCGUACCAUUAGCUAGUUGGUAGGGUAAUGGCCUACCAAGGCUACGAUGGUUAGCUGGUCUGAGAGGAUGAUCAGCCACACUGGAACUGAGACACGGUCCAGACUCCUACGGGAGGCAGCAGUGGGGAAUUUUGCGCAAUGGGCGAAAGCCUGACGCAGCAACGCCGCGUGAGUGAUGAAGGCUUUCGGGUCGUAAAGCUCUGUCGAGGGGAAAGAAGUGUAUUGCGGUUAAUACCCGCUUUACUUGACGGUACCCCUAAAGGAAGCACCGGCUAACUCCGUGCCAGCAGCCGCGGUAAUACGGGGGGUGCAAGCGUUGUUCGGAAUUAUUGGGCGUAAAGCGCGUGUAGGCGGUCUGAUUAGUCUGAUGUGAAAGCCCUGGGCUCAACCCAGGAAGUGCAUUGGAUACUGUCAGACUUGAAUACGGGAGAGGGUAGUGGAAUUCCUAGUGUAGGAGUGAAAUCCGUAGAUAUUAGGAGGAACACCGGUGGCGAAGGCGGCUACCUGGACCGAUAUUGACGCUGAGACGCGAAAGCGUGGGUAGCAAACAGGAUUAGAUACCCUGGUAGUCC
rnacentral:rRNA from 1 species